CAGCAGCCACGGGAACACGGAGGGAGCUAGCGUUGUUCGGAAUCACCGGGCGUAAAGCGCACGUAGGCGGCUAUUCAAGUCAGGGGUGAAAGCCCGGGGCUCAACCCCGGAACUGCCUUUGAAACUAGAUGACUGGAAUCUUGGAGAGGUCAGUGGAAUUCCGAGUGUAGAGGUGAAACUCGUAGAUAUUCGGGAGAACACCAGUGGCGAAGGCGACUGACUGGACAAGUAUUGACGCUGAGGUGCGAAAGCGUGGGGAGCAAACAGGAUUAGAUACCCCUGUAGUCCCUGUCUCUUAUAC
rnacentral:rRNA from 1 species